rnacentral:tRNA from 1 species
GUUGGAAAAGUUAUGUUUAAUGACUUAUUUACAUUAAGUUGAUGGCGGGUGCCUUUUGAUA